GUAAAAACCGGUAAAAACAAAAAAAAAAAUGUGGUUAAAUAAGUAUUGUUUACAAAACAGUUAUUUAUCGUUACUAAAAAACUAACUAUGGACGAUACUAUUCAAGGUUCACAAAAAGAUCAUUUGCAAAUUCCUUGAAAUUUUAAAACACACGACACUUGGUUAAUAGCCUCAACAAAUAUUUGUAUUGUUCAAGCACGAAACAAAGAGAAAAAAAGCCAUAGUGCAAUGGGUCGACUUUUGAAGAUACA